CAAAACUGUUUCUUUGCAUCCUUGAUACCCAGUUAGUUCAUUGGUAGUAAAAAUUGGAGGAUAAUAAGUUAUACUUCAUGCUACAACAGUGAAGCAGGUCUAACAAUUCUAAUUUAAAACCUCACGUCUAGGAGAUCACGUAAAAUCCAAGCUGAACUCAGGAUUGUAGACUUAUCAAACUGCUUCAUACAGCUAAGCUAGUAGCUUCAACGCAUUCACUUCUUCUUCUUCAACUUGUUGGCCUGCGACUGAGAAUAUGCAGUUCCCUGCAACCAUUCGUCUGUGGAUGCAUCAGUUGUUGCAGUUCCAACUUCAACCUUUGCCUUUGGUGCUCUCUUAGUUUUCUUUGAGAGAUUUUGUAUCUGACCACGGAUCCAGAACCCAAGAAGACCAAGGAGGGCUACAGCAAGACAAAACAAGAAAACUGACUCAACACUGAGAAGACCACCAGGUUCAGUCACUUCAAUAGUUCCAUUGUAGAACACAUUUUGGUAAGCAUUCUGAUCUAUCUCGUAAACAAUUGUGCCAACAAGAUCAAAACUUCCAGGCUGCAUAAAUUUGCUGACAGCAAAUAUAUAUGGAAAAGUAGCCUGAGCUGAAGGAGGAACUGUUGCGUUGUUAAAAGCCUGUACAGAAAGAUUUUGAACCAAAUAGCGGUGAUCAAAAGGAAGGUGAACACUGGCUUGGAUAGCAAUGAUAUUCAGAUGUGAUUCCCCAUCAUUUUUCAUGCCAACUAACAGUUCACUCUCCUCACCAGCUGCCACUACUUUCGAAGGGUUUUUAGGGAAAACACAAAUUGUUUCAACCCCAGCUGCAGGAGUAUAACUCUCGCUGCUAAAGUCUUGAACAUCAUCGCCAACAAUUCCAAGAUCCCCUGCUUCCUCAGUACCCUCAACCACUUCUACUGCAGGGUCAGACUGACUUCUAGCAACUUGAAGGAACGAUGAAGAAAAGAGGAGAAGAGCCAACACACAAAAAAACCCUAAUUUCCAUUUUUGAAGCGUUAGAGAGAAGAAGACGGUAUACACAAAGGAAGACUUUAAGACGAAAGUUAAACAGAAAUCGGAGAAGAAGAACACACGG
rnacentral:misc_RNA from 1 species